UACAUGGGGUGCAAACGUUGCUCGGAAUUAUUGGGCGUAAAGCGCACGUAGGCGGUUUGUUAAGUCGGAUGUGAAAUCCCUCGGCUCAACUGAGGAAGUGCAUCCGAAACUGGCAGGCUUGAGUACGAAAGAGGGUCGCGGAAUUCCCGGUGUAGAGGUGAAAUUCGUAGAUAUCGGGAGGAACACCGGUGGCGAAGGCGGCGACCUGGGUCGAUACUGACGCUGAGGUGCGAAAGCUAGGGGAGCAAACGGG
rnacentral:rRNA from 1 species